rnacentral:lncRNA from 1 species
CGCGAAUGAAGACAUACCUUCCUUUACUAACAGAUAAAGAAAGAAAGACUCUACCAAAGGUUAUAUGAUUAAGACCAAUGUGAAAAGUUCGAGAAAAAAUAUGGUCUUGUAGGGCUAGGUUUAAACUAGAAUUUAUAGAAAAAUUAAAAGAUUCCCUAAGUGUAGCAAAAAGUUCAUUAUCUUCUUGAUUAAAAGAUAGGACUUCAGCUAUAGGAAAGGGUUGGUUUUGACCUAUUGCAAUCAACUCCGGACAC